UCCAUAUGUGUCUCGAUACGCCUCCACUCUCACAUCCAUCAUAAAAUCUCGCCGUCAGUAGGGUUCUAGGAGCCGGCGAACCAACAUACACCUCUACAGUCUCGCACCUCAACACUCGAUCUUUUUCGCUCCAACUCCGACUUCGCAAUCAGUUUAGCAAUUUGGCUUCUCCUUCUGAUUCCGAUUAAAACGUCUUCAUCUUUCCCAUUUAUUGGAUAAUGCAAAUGCCCUCUGCAUAUAUCCAAUUCUAACGUUUCUCUCGUAAGUGAUGUUUGCGCUUAUACAGCUGGACGUUCCUAUAAAAAUGUUGUUUCUUGCUGAUGUCAAGAUAAUGACUAUCAGUUUCAGUAACAUAUAUUUCAAAAGAAAUAUCCUAGGCAUAGUAAAAUUCCUUGCUUUGUUACAUGGAGAUUGGAUUCACAAAUAUUUGAUGAGAUAAUAAUAGGAAAGGAAAUUAGAAGCAAGUGUUGGUGCAAGGAUGCAGUGGAUGGAUAGAGCAAUACAUUUUGAAGACAAUAUAUCAAAGGCAAACUCCUAGGUGGGUCUAAAUUAGCAAGCUCCCUAUAUGUGUGUGUUAUUAGCAACCCCAUAUUCGUCGGAUUUUUCUAACGACAGCGACACCAACACUCUCCGGUCUGUGGUGGUUGCGAAGGCAUGCGGCGCUGUUGACGGUAACCCAUCCAAGGCCGUUUGCUCCUUCCCUUUCUUUCUCAUGCUCUCCGCCGUGUAUCUCUCCCCGUCGAAGAACUCGCGUAAAUCCGGUGGCCUGGGUGGCGGUGCUCGUCGUGGGCGAGCCACCACAAGUUGAUCGGAGACCGAGAUGUCCGGCGGCUCCGGUGGUGGUUCAAGAGCAACUACUUGCUCUCUUCUUCUGUACACCUCAUUCAUCGUCUUCACCAUCACUUUACUGUUCACUACUUGCAACCUUUCCACCGUUGCAGUAACGAUUGUUUCAGAUCCAGAGCCAAUUUGUUUGAAGCGAACUUCUUCUCCAUCAUCAAUGGAUGCCUCAAUCACUACUUCAACUUCUUCGUCCUUGGACUCAUCAGUAAUCUCUUCUAUCCCUUCAACUACAACCGUGUGAUUUUUCACGAUUGAUGGUCGUUCCGAUGAAUUCGUCAACAUUCGAGAAUCUAUCGUUUUCUCUGCAUACUUCACCUGUAACUUCUGCGUCAUUGAAUCAUCGCCGAUUUCUGUAUUCACCUUUUGAAUCUCUUCUAUCCGCGGAGGUGACUUCGGACCUAUCCGCUUAAUCAAUUCACUCAACACGAGACUUUGUUGUUGCAUUUGCUGGCCAUGUUGUUGCAUCUGCUGAGUAAGCUCUUGCAGCGUUGGUGUCACGUUAAGCAUCGGUGUCUUCAAAACUCCCAUCCGGUCAUCCAUCUUGUUUAUGGUGUGUAUGGAUCCGGAAAGUCGGACCAAUUGAUGGAACUCUAGAUCUCAAAUAAUGAAAAUAAGAUUGAAAUGGAGAAAUAUGUAAUUGUAUUGAUUGAAACAGAUGAACAAUUUAGUAGAGAGAGUCUACUAGUCCCAAAGCACUGAGUGCCCCAAAAUCACUAAAAGUGAUCCCAUUAAUUCUCACUGAAAUUCUAACUAAGUUAUUCCUUGUGUUCACUACUCUUUAUAUAGUAGAAUAAGUCUUCAUGCAUUUCAUGCUCUCAUGCCAUCUAAUCAUUCCUUUCCACACUUUAGUCUUGGGCCAAAGUCAAGGCCCACUUUCACAUUCAAGUCUCUAUCAGUGUUGGUGCAAGGUUUAAUGCAGUGGAUGGUUGCUUAGAGCAAUACAUUUUGAAGACAAUAUGUCAAAGGCUUUUAACAGGAUUUUUGUAUAAUAAUAUUUAAAUAUUUAUUAUUAUUAUUAUUAUU